AAGUCUAUAACGACUCUCGGCAACGGAUAUCUCGGCUCUCGCAUCGAUGAAGAACGUAGCGAAAUGCGAUACUUGGUGUGAAUUGCAGAAUCCCGUGAACCAUCGAGUCUUUGAACGCAAGUUGCGCCCCAAGCCUUCUGGCCGAGGGCACGUCUGCCUGGGUGUCACAA
rnacentral:rRNA from 3 species